rnacentral:tRNA from 1 species
GGUCAGGUGGUGGAAUUGGGAUACACGCUAGUCUUAGGAACUAGUGCCGCAAGGUGUGCAGGUUCAACUCCUGUCCUGACCA